rnacentral:rRNA from 1 species
GACGAACGCUGGCGGCGUGCUUAACACAUGCAAGUCGAGCGGUAAGGCCCUUUCGGGGGUACGACGAGCGGCGAACGGGUGAGUAACACGUGGGUGACCUGCCCUCAGCUCUGGGAUAAGCCUGGGAAACCGGGUCUAAUACUGGAUAUGACUCCAUGACGCAUGUUGUGGGGUGGAAAGCCUUGUGCGGCUGAGGAUGGGCCCGCGGCCUAUCAGCUUGUUGGUGGGGUGANGGCCUACCAAGGCGACGACGGGUAGCCGGCCUGAGAGGGCGACCGGCCACACUGGGACUGAGACACGGCCCAGACUCCUACGGGAGGCAGCAGGUGGGGAAUCUUGCGCAAUGGGCGAAAGCCUGACGCAGCGACGCCGCGUGA